rnacentral:sRNA from 1 species
GCCAGGCAUGGUGCACGAGCCUGUAGUCCCAGCUACUUGGGAGGCUGAGUCAGGAGAAUCGUUUGAACCUGGGAGGCGGAGGUUACAGUGAGCCGAGAUGGAGCCACUGCACUCUAGCCUGGGCGACAAAAAAAAAAAAAAAAAAAAAGAAAAAAGAAAAAAAAAAGAAAAAAGAAAAAAAAAUUUUUUUUUUUUUUUUUUGAGACGGAGUCUCGCUCUGUUGCCCAGGCUGGAGUGCAGUGGCCGGAUCUCAGCUCAUUGCAAGCUCCGCCUCCCAGGUUCACGCCAUUCUCCUGCCUCAG